GACGAACGCUGGCGGCGUGCUUAACACAUGCAAGUCGAACGGAAAGGCCCUGCUUUUGUGGGGUGCUCGAGUGGGGAGCGGGUGAGUAACACGAGAGUAACCUGCCCUUGACAUAGGGAUAACUUAAGGAGACUGGGGCCCAUACCGGACAGGAGCUCCUGCUGCGUGGGGGGGAUUGGAAAGGUUCGGCGGUGGGGGGUGGGCUCGCGGAUUAUCAGCUUGUUGGUGGGGUAGUGGCUGACCAAGGCUUUGACGGGUAGCCGGCCUGAGAGGGUGACCGGCCACAUUGGGACUGAGAUACGGCCCAGACUCCUACGGGAGGCAGCAGUGGGGAAUAUUGCACAAUGGGCGGAAGCCUGAUGCAGCAACGCCGCGUGCGGGAUGACGGCCUUCGGGUUGUAAACCGCUUUCGCCUGUGACGAAGCGUGAGUGACGGUAAUGGGUAAAGAAGCACCGGCUAACUAC
rnacentral:rRNA from 1 species